AUGAGAUGGCACCGGGGGUCUAUGCGCUGCCCGGCCAGCCGUCGUUGGCUGCGCCUCAGGAGCCCGAACUCCCGGAGCGCCCAGCUGCUGCCGCGGCUGGAGAGCGCCUCCACGACCUGCAGCACCCGGCGCAAGUGCCGGCGGCUGCUGUCCGGCCGGCGGUGCGCCCCGUCCCGACGCAUGGGGCGGCGGCGGACGAGCCCUUCCAGCCCCCCCCCCCCCGCGGUACUCGCAGCAGGAGGGGGUCCCGCUCCACGUCCAGCCAUUAGCAGCGGCGGGAUCCUCCUCGCCCUGCCCGAUCCACACUGCGGGAAACCACGACUCCCCUGGCGAUGA
rnacentral:rRNA from 1 species